UACGUAGGGGGCUAGCGUUGUCCGGAAUCAUUGGGCGUAAAGAGCGUGUAGGCGGUCCGGUAAGUCCGUUGUGAAAGUCAGGGGCUCAACCCUUGAAUGCCGGCGGAUACUGUCGGGCUAGAGUCCGGAAGAGGCGAGUGGAAUUCCCGGUGUAGCGGUGAAAUGCGCAGAUAUCAGGAGGAACACCGAUGGCGAAGGCAGGUCUCUGGGCAUUAACUGACGCUGAGGAGCGAAAGCAUGGGGAGCGAACAGG
rnacentral:rRNA from 1 species